GCUGGGUGGGUUGGUUUAGUGCGCUGGGCUGGGUGGCUUGGUUUGUAGGGUCUGGGCUUAGUGGCUGGGUGUCUUGGUUGGUGUUUGGGGGGUCUCGGCCCUCAGUCUUUCCAGGGUUCCGAGUGGUGGUGGGUCAGAUGAGGUCAGAGGGUCCUGAAGAACACAGGCCAUGAAGAUAAACAGAGAGGGGAGAGAGAAACAGAGAGGAGAGAGACAGAGAUAAACAGAGAGGAGAGAGAAACAGAAGAGACAGAGAAACAGAGAGGAGAGAGAAACAGAGAGGAGAGAGAAACAGAGAGGAGAGAGAGAGAUAAACAGAGAGGAGAGAUAAACAGAGAGGAGAGAGACAGAGAUAAACAGAGAGGAGAGAGAAACAGAGAGGAGAGAGACAGAGAUAAACAGAGAGGAGAGAGAAACAGAGAGGAGAGAGACAGAGAUAAACAGAGAGGAGAGAGAAACAGAGAGGAGAGAGAAACAGAGAGGAGAGAGAAACAGAGAGGAGAGAGAAACAGAGAGGAGAGAGAAACAGAGAGGAGAGAGACAGAGAUAAACAGAGAGGAGAGAGAAACAGAGA
ensembl:lncRNA